AGCUCCAAUAGCGUAUAUUAAAGUUGUUGCAGUUAAAAAGCUCGUAGUUGGAUUUCUGGUGAGAUGAAUUAUGUCUGGAUCGAAAGAUUCUGUUCAUGGUUUGUUUUGCCCUUCUUGUCAGGAACCCGUUGGGAUUUACUUCUCGACGGUGGAAUGGCAUCUUUUACUGUGAAAAAAUUAGAGUGUUCAAAGCAGGCAUCGCCGUUGAAUACAUUAGCAUGGAAUAAUAAGAUAAGACUUUGGUGGUCUAUUUUGUUGGUUUGCACGCCAAAGUAAUGAUUAAUAGGGAUAGUUGGGGGUAUUCGUAUUCUAUUGCUAGAGGUGAAAUUCUUAAAUUUAUGGAAGACGAACUACUGCGAAAGCAUUUACCAAGGAUGUUUUCAUUAAUCAAGAACGAAAG
rnacentral:rRNA from 1 species